rnacentral:rRNA from 1 species
AGGCCUAACACAUGCAAGUCGGACGGUAACAGGAGAGAAGCUUGCUUUUCUUGCUGACGAGUGGCGGACGGGUGAGUAACGCGUGGGAAUCUACCCUUUAGUUGGGGACAACAUAUGGAAACGUAUGCUAAUACCGAAUGUGCUCUACGGAGUAAAGGUGCCCUCUCCUUGGAAGGUAUCGCUAAAGGAUGAGCCCGCGUUAGAUUAGCUAGUUGGUAGGGUAAAGGCCUACCAAGGCGACGAUCUAUAGCUGGUUUGAGAGGAUGAUCAGCCACACUGGGACUGAGACACGGCCCAGACUCCUACGGGAGGCAGCAGUGGGGAAUAUUGCACAAUGAGGGAAACCUUGAUGCAGCCAUGCCGCGUGUGUGAAGAAGGCCCGAGGGUUGUAAAGCACUUUCAAUUGUGAGGAAGAUUAAGUAGCUAAUACCUGCUUAGUUUGACGUUAACUUUAGAAGAAGCACCGGCUAACUCUGUGCCAGCAGCCGCGGUAAUACAGAGGGUGCAAGCGUUAUUCGGAAUUACUGGGCGUAAAGCGCGCGUAGGCGGACUGUUAAGUCGGUUGUGAAAGCCCUGGGCUCAACCUAGGAACUGCAUCCGAUACUGGCAAUCUAGAGUUUAAGAGAGGGAAGUGGAAUUCCAGGUGUAGCAGUGAAAUGCGUAGAUAUCUGGAGGAACAUCAGUGGCGAAGGCGACUUCCUGGCUUAAAACUGACGCUGAGGUGCGAAAGCUUGGGUAGCGAACGGGAUUAGAUACCCCGGUAGUCCAAGCCGUAAACGAUGUCAACUAGCUGUUGGUCUUAUUAAAAAGAUUAGUAGCGAAGCUAACGCGAUAAGUUGACCGCCUGGGGAGUACG